rnacentral:rRNA from 1 species
UACAGAGACUGCAAGCGUUAUUCGGAUUCACUGGGCGUAAAGGGUGCGCAGGCGGCCGUGUGUGUGAGGCGUGGAAGCCCGGGGCUCAACCCCGGAAUUGCACCUCAAACUACAUGGCUAGAGCAUUGGAGAGGGUAGCGGAAUUCACGGUGUAGCAGUGAAAUGCGUAGAUAUCGUGAGGAACACCAGAGGCGAAGGCGGCUACCUGGACAAUUGCUGACGCUCAGGCACGAAAGCGUGGGGAGCAAAAGGG